rnacentral:rRNA from 1 species
CCUACGGGAGGCAGCAGUGGGGAAUAUUGCGCAAUGGGGGCAACCCUGACGCAGCAACGCCGCGUGAUUGAAGAAGGCCUUCGGGUUGUACAGAUCUUUAAUUGGGGACGAAAACAAUGACGGUCCCCACAGAAUAAGCUCCGGCUAACUACGUGCCAGCAGCCGCGGUAAUACGUAGGGAGCAAGCGUUAUUCGGGUUUACUGGGUGUAAAGGGCGAGUAGGCGGGCUGGCAAGUUGGGAGUGAAAUCCCGGGGCUUAAACCCGGAACUGCUUUCAAAACUGCUGGUCUUGAGUGAGGGAGAGGCAGGCGGAAUUCCGGGGGUAGCGGUGAAAUGCGUAGAUAUACGGAGGAAACCCAGUGGCGAAGGCGGCCUGCUGGACAUUAACUGACGCUGAGGAGCGAAAGCGUGGGGAGCAAACAGGAUUAGAUACCCGUGUAGUC